rnacentral:pre_miRNA from 1 species
UCUUUGGUUAUCUAGCUGUAUGAGUGUUCUAGACAUUAUAAAGCUAGGUUACCAAAGACA